rnacentral:rRNA from 1 species
AACGAACGCUGGCGGCAGGCUUAACACAUGCAAGUCGAGCGCCCCGCAAGGGGAGCGGCAGACGGGUGAGUAACACGUGGGAAUCUACCCAUCCCUACGGAACAACUCCGGGAAACCGGAGCUAAUACCGUAUACGCCCUUCGGGGGAAAGAUUUAUCGGGGAUGGAUGAGCCCGCGUUGGAUUAGCUAGUUGGUGGGGUAAAGGCCUACGAAGGCGACGAGCCAUAGCUGGUCUGAGAGGAUGAUCAGCCACAUUGGGACUGAGACACGGUCCGACUGCCGACAGGAGGCGGCAGUGGGGAAUAUUGGACAAUGGCAGCACGCCUGAUCCAGCCGUGCCGAGUGAAUGAUGAAGGCCUUAGGGUUGUAAAGUUCUUUCACCGAUGAAGUUGAUGGCGGUAGUCGGAGAAGAAGCCCCGGCUAUGUUCGUGCCAGCCGCCGCCGUAA